rfam:Eimeria tenella Houghton genomic scaffold, Eth_scaff1
GGCUGGAUGGCCGAGUGGUCUAAGGCGCUGCGUUCAGGCCGCAGUCCUAGCGGGCGUGGGUUCGAAUCCCACUUCAGUCA